rnacentral:rRNA from 1 species
GACGAACGCUGGCGGCGUGCCUAAUACAUGCAAGUAGAACGCUGAAGGAGGAGCUUGCUUCUCUGGAUGAGUUGCGAACGGGUGAGUAACGCGUAGGUAACCUGCCUGGUAGCGGGGGAUAACUAUUGGAAACGAUAGCUAAUACCGCAUAAUAGUAGAUGUUGCAUGACAUUUGCUUAAAAGGUGCAAUUGCAUCACUACCAGAUGGACCUGCGUUGUAUUAGCUAGUUGGUGAGGUAACGGCUCACCAAGGCAACGAUACAUAGCCGACCUGAGAGGGUGAUCGGCCACACUGGGACUGAGACACGGCCCAGACUCCUACGGGAGGCAGCAGUAGGGAAUCUGCGGCAAUGGACGGAAGUCUGACCGAGCAACGCCGCGUGAGUGAAGAAGGUUUUCGGAUCGUAAAGCUCUGUUGUAAGAGAAGAACGAGUGUGAGAGUGGAAAGUUCACACUGUGACGGUAUCUUACCAGAAAGGGACGGCUAACUACGUG